GAGGUCCCACCCGUUCCCAUCCCGAACACGGAAGUUAAGCUCCAUGGCGCCGAUGGUA
rnacentral:rRNA from 1 species